rnacentral:rRNA from 1 species
UACGAAGGGGGCUAGCGUUGCUCGGAAUCACUGGGCGUAAAGCGCACGUAGGCGGGUCGUUAAGUCGGGGGUGAAAUCCUGGAGCUCAACUCCAGAACUGCCUUCGAUACUGGCGACCUUGAGUCCGGGAGAGGUGAGUGGAACUCCGAGUGUAGAGGUGAAAUUCGUAGAUAUUCGGAAGAACACCCGUGGCGAAGGCGGCUCUCUGGGACGGUACUGACGCUGAGACGCGAAAGCGUGGGGAGCGAACAGG